rnacentral:lncRNA from 1 species
AUAUAUGAACACACCUCAGCCUCGAAAGGCAUGAAGCAGAUGCCGCAGUCGACGGAGAGCUAUCAACAGCCCAACAACCAUCCAAAAUGAGCCAAGCUAUCAAUUCAUCCCUGUGAGGCAACAUCUCGAUUCUGUGGCUAUUGGCUGAGGCAUUUGUCCUAGAGUAGACCAAUGGUGCAGUGGGGUUAAGCUCCUUUGAACAUGAAUAAGUCAGAAUUCUUGCUCUUUCUCUUUUUCUUUGCUCCUUUUUUUUGUUUACAAGGGACUCGGUUGAUCCACGAGACCUCUCACCAACUCCUCCACCACUUUCCAAGGAAAAUUAGCUUAUCACAUAGUAGUGUCUUUGAAACAUGUUUAGGGCACAUCACAUUACGUUUAGCAUCUUCUGCAC